rnacentral:rRNA from 1 species
GUAGGUGGCAAGCGUUGUCCGGAAUUAUUGGGCGUAAAGCGCGCGCAGGCGGUUCGUUAAGUCUGAUGUGAAAGCCCACGGCUCAACCGUGGAGGGUCAUUGGAAACUGGAGAACUUGAGUACAGAAGAGGAAAGCGGAAUUCCACGUGUAGCGGUGAAAUGCGUAGAGAUGUGGAGGAACACCAGUGGCGAAGGCGGCUCUCUGGUCUGUAACUGACGCUGAGGCGCGAAAGCGUGGGGAGCAAACAGGAUUAGAUACCCUGGUAGUCCACGCCGUAAACGAUGAGUGCUAAGUGUUAGGGGGUUUUCCGCCCCCCUUAGUGCUGCAGCUAACGCAUUAAGCACUCCGCCUGGGAGUACGGCCGCAAGGCUG